GUUGGUGUUGAUUGCGGUGAGGGUCCACCCGUUCCCAUCCCGAACACGGAAGUUAAGCUCACCUGCGCCGAAAAUACUUGUCUGGAGACGGACCGGGAAGAUAGGUAACGCCGACA
rnacentral:rRNA from 8 species